GUGAAUCAUCGAAUCUUUGAACGCAAAUUGCACUCUCCGGUUUUCCGGGAGAGUAUGCCUGUUUGCGGGUCAGCCUAAAAAAAAUCGACAUGGUUGCUGUUUUUUAUGGUUACUUUCCGGGGGUGAUUGGUUUUUCUUACACUUUUUUUUUUUUUUUUUUUUCAGGCUUUUAAAUUUUUUUUUCAAAUUACUUUACGUGUUUUU
rnacentral:misc_RNA from 1 species